UACACUCCUACGGGAGGCAGCAGUGGGGAAUUUUGGACAAUGGGCGAAAGCCUGAUCCAGCAAUGCCGCGUGCAGGAUGAAGGCCUUCGGGUUGUAAACUGCUUUUGUACGGAACGAAAAAGCUCCUUCUAAUACAGGGGGCCCAUGACGGUACCGUAAGAAUAAGCACCGGCUAACUACGUGCCAGCAGCCGCGGUAAUACGUAGGGUGCGAGCGUUAAUCGGAAUUACUGGGCGUAAAGCGUGCGCAGGCGGUUAUGUAAGACAGAUGUGAAAUCCCCGGGCUCAACCUGGGAACUGCAUUUGUGACUGCAUGGCUAGAGUACGGUAGAGGGGGAUGGAAUUCCGCGUGUAGCAGUGAAAUGCGUAGAUAUGCGGAGGAACACCGAUGGCGAAGGCAAUCCCCUGGACCUGUACUGACGCUCAUGCACGAAAGCGUGGGGAGCAAACAGGAUUAGAAACCCCUGUAGUCCCA
rnacentral:rRNA from 1 species